AGUGAACGCUGGCGGUAGGCCUAACACAUGCAAGUCGAACGGCAGCACAGUAAGAGCUUGCUCUUACGGGUGGCGAGUGGCGGACGGGUGAGGAAUACAUCGGAAUCUACUUUUUCGUGGGGGAUAACGUAGGGAAACUUACGCUAAUACCGCAUACGACCUACGGGUGAAAGCAGGGGAUCUUCGGACCUUGCGCGAUUGAAUGAGCCGAUGUCGGAUUAGCUAGUUGGCUGGGUAAAGGCCCACCAAGGCGACGAUCCGUAGCUGGUCUGAGAGGAUGAUCAGCCAGAGUGGAACUGAGACACGGUCCAGACACCUACGGGAGGCAGCAGUGGGGAAUAUUGGACAAUGGGGGCAAGCCUGAUACAGCCAUACCGCGUGGGUGAAGAAGGCCUUCGGGUUGUAAAGCCCUUUUGUUGGGAAAGAAAAGCAGCAGGUUAAUACCCCGCUGUUAUGACGGUACCCAAAGAAUAAGCACCGGCUAACUUCGUG
rnacentral:rRNA from 1 species